rnacentral:rRNA from 1 species
UCGGUAAUUCCAGCUCCAAUAGCGUAUUUGCAAGUUGUUGCAGUUAAAAAGCUCGUAGUUGGCCUUUGGGUCUGGCCGGGCGGUUUGGUCGAAAGAUCAACACUGCUCUGGUUGGAUCUUUCCUUCUGGGGAACUAGUGUGCUCUUUACUGAGUGCGUUAGGGAUCCAGGACUGUUACUUUGAAAAAAUUAGAGUGUUUAAAACAGGCUUACGCUUGAAUACAUUAGCAUGGAAUAACGGAAUAGGACUUUGUUUCUAUUUUGUUGGUUUUCAGAAACGAAGUAAUGAUUAAUAGGGACAGUUGGGGACAUUAGUAUUCCAUAGUCAGAGGUGAAAUUCUUGGAUUUAUGGAAGACUAACUUCUGCGAAAGCAUUUGCCAAGGAUGUUUUCAUUAAUCAAGAACGAAAGUUAGGGGAUCGAAGACGAUCAGAUACCGUCGUAGUCUUAACCAUAAACUAUGCCGACUAGGGAUCAGACNCCNGUUNUUUUUAAUGACUUGUUNGGCACCNUAUGGGAAAUCAAAGUUUUUGGGUUCCGGGGGGAGUAUGUUCGCAAGGCUGAAACUNAANGAAUUGACGGANGGCCCCNCCAGGAGNGGAGCCUGCGGCNNANUUGACUCAACNCGGGGNAACNCNCCAGNUCCGAGNUAUUGNGAUGAUUGUGAGGUUNUUCUGUUUNUUUUGGUUGUGUGNGUGNUGNUGCUUGGGCNUUUNUCNUUUGUGGNUUGAUNUGUCUGGUUAAUUCCGUUAACGAACGAGACCUUAACCUGCUAAAUAGUCACGUCAACUUUGGUUGGCGCUGACUUCUUAGAGGGACUAUGGAUGUUUAAUCCAUGGAAGUUUGAGGCAAUAACAGGUCUGUGAUGCCCUUAGAUGUUCUGGGCCGCACGCGCGCUACACUGAAGAAGGCAACAAGUAAUUCGCCUUGGCCGGAAGGCCUGGGUAAUCUUUUGAAACUUCAUCGUGCUGGGGAUAGAGCAUUGCAAUUAUUGCUCUUCAACGAGGAAUUCCUAGUAAGCGCAAGUCAUCAGCUUGCGUUGAUUACGUCCCUGCCCUUUGCACACACCGCCCGUCGCUACUACCGAUUGAAUGGCUUAGUGAGACCUCCGGACCGAUGGGUUGGAUCUGGCAACAGAACUGACUUGUUGGAAAGUUGGUCAAACUUGGUCAUUUAGAGGAAGUAAAAGUCGUAACAAGGUAGCCGUA